rnacentral:rRNA from 1 species
UACGUAGGGUGCAAGCGUUGUCCGGAAUUAUUGGGCGUAAAGAGCUCGUAGGCGGUCUGUCACGUCGGCUGUGAAAACCCGAGGCUCAACCUCGGGCCUGCAGUCGAUACGGGCAAACUAGAGUACUGCAGGGGAGACUGGAAUUCCUGGUGUAGCGGUGAAAUGCGCAGAUAUCAGGAGGAACACCGGUGGCGAAGGCGGGUCUCUGGGCAGUAACUGACGCUGAGGCACGAAGGCCAGGGGAGCAAACGGG